GAAUGUGACUCAGUGGUAGAGCAUUUUGUCUAGCAUGUGUGAGGUCCUGGGUUCAAUCCCCAGCAUCA
rnacentral:tRNA from 1 species